rfam:Burkholderia sp. Leaf177 contig_7, whole genome shotgun sequence.
AAAAAAAAUGGGCGCAACGCCCAUCCUUCUGUACCGCGAUCACAUCCGGGCGGCGAAACAAUCACCAUGCCCAUCGACUUCGUGAUUUUAGCCAUUU